rnacentral:tRNA from 1 species
GGCCGCGUGGCCUAAUGGCUAAGGCGCUAGAUUUCGGUUCACUGUCAUCCAAUUCUCUAGAGAUUCCAGGUUCGACUCCUGGCGUGGUCG